rnacentral:rRNA from 1 species
CCUACGGGUGGCAGCAGUGAGGAAUAUUGGUCAAUGGACGAGAGUCUGAACCAGCCAAGUAGCGUGAAGGAUGACUGCCCUAUGGGUUGUAAACUUCUUUUAUAUGGGAAUAAAAUGUUCCACGUGUGGGAUUUUGUAUGUACCAUAUGAAUAAGGAUCGGCUAACUCCGUGCCAGCAGCCGCGGUAAUACGGAGGAUCCGAGCGUUAUCCGGAUUUAUUGGGUUUAAAGGGAGCGUAGGUGGAUUGUUAAGUCAGUUGUGAAAGUUUGCGGCUCAACCGUAAAAUUGCAGUUGAAACUGGCAGGCUUGAGUACAGUAGAGGUGGGCGGAAUGCGUGGUGUAGCGGUGAAAUGCUUAGAUAUCACGAAGAACGCCGAUUGCGAAGGCAGCUCACUGGACUGCAACUGACACUGAUGCUCGAAAGUGUGGGUAUCAAACAGGAUUAGAUACCCCUGUAGUC